UAUAUUUGAUAUCUUUUAAAUAUUAUCGUGUGUAUCUUAAUUUUAAAUUUGUCUGUCAAAUUUCAGCAAAAAAGGUUUUAAAAUAAAAUUUUUACGCGAUUAUUACUUUUCACUUAAAGUGAAUAGUAACCCACGUUUCCGGUGAGGAUUGAGAAGAGAGAAAGGCUUCGGACGCAAAUUGAACUCUGUUCAGGGUGAUCCAAUAGUUCAUUCUCAAUGGUUCGACUGUGCCGGCGCCAAUGGCAUUGACGGAUUUUAUGUUCGAUGCACGGUUUUUGAGAAAAAUAUGUUUUAUUGCUGAGAGGGCAUAUAUUCCUCAUUGUGCUUGCUUCUUAGAAGCGAUCGGUGCUUUGUUUUGCGUGAAAACUCGCGAACAAGGACUUUAUGCUAGAGGAAUGUAUUGGAGAGGGAAUAAAUUGUAAAUUUUGAGAGUUGGGAGACUUUGGAGCGAUUAGUCUAUAUGAAUAGUGGUUUUUUGGAUUAAAAGGUGGAUUUGGAGAUUUUGAAACAAAAAAGAAACCCAGAUCACCUUUCUCCCU
rnacentral:lncRNA from 1 species